GAGGGUUCCACCUCUUCCCAUUCCGAACAGAGAAGUUAAGCCUCGUCACGCCGAUGGUACUGCGUAACAGUGGGAGAGUAGGUAGCCGCCGUUU
rnacentral:rRNA from 2 species